rnacentral:misc_RNA from 1 species
AAUAUACGAUUUGAAGUGCGCUCGAUGAUAAUACGGUCGGACAGUAUUGGCGGCGGGCGGCGGCGAGCCGGCUCCCUUCGUUGUGUAGCGUCGCGCGCGCACCACAGGCGUACACGUCUCCGCGUAAAAAUAAAGUCCACGGCCCGCGCUCUCGCACUUCAACCCAUUUAUAAUUAUCAGUAAAUCGCCGCGCGAGUGCAUGACUGCCGCGGCCGGCGACCGCUCGCCUAAAAGAAAAUCACAUUCGGUAACCUCGAACCCGAAUCUCUCGUCCCUGUACACCGGGCCCUUGUUUCACAAACGAACGACGCGAAAGCCCUAAAAUACGCUUAGACGAACCUCGACGAAUCGUCACUCCUACGCAAUAGAUACCGGUGUCGCGAGACGCGUGGAGCCGUCUGUGAAUGGACCGUGUGUGUUGUGUGAUAUGAUUAUGUCGUGUUAGUGAUAACAGUGUAGCGAUUUUUCCAACAUGCCUGAAAGGCCGAAGCGACGUAAAAAUAAUAAAAACAAACGUAAAAAUAAGAACAAUAAACCUGAAGCGAACAAAAAUAAUAGUGACUUAAACAAAGUAGACAGUGAAUCGUGUACUAGUCUAAAUGAUAAUGAAGCGGACUUUGCGGAAAGUGAAGUGACUGAAUCAAAGGAAAUAAAGGAUGAAAUUUUGCAAACUCCGAUUGGAAAUGAUAACACGGCAGGUAGUACUUCUAGUGACGUAGUUAACUUGAACGGUGAUUUAAAUAACAACAGUAAUGAAACUAUAAACGACGUGGCGACCACGCCAACUGAAAAAUGCCAAGAUCUCGAUACCACUGAUUCUAUAGCUUACGUUGUGGAACCUCCUGAAAAAACUGAAAAAAAGUCUCAUAAAAGCAAAGCUAAAUUGAACAGCAAAGUAAAAAGUAAAAGUUUAGAUGAUGAUGACGCUACCAAAAUUAUUGAUGUUACUGAAGAUGAUACGGUCGAACCAGGGAAUGAAAACGCAUUGGCUUUAAUAGAAAAUCAAAAUGUUGUAGUUACGCAUGUGGAAUCGGACGUAGAGUGGGAGAGUGCUACUGAACUGAAUGAAACUGACAUACCACAGACACAAGAAGUGGCUACUGGAACUUUAUCAGUUACAACAAUCCCACUCAGUGUAGCUCAGUGUGACCAAACAAAGUCAUUAACACCUGACGAAGAAAAAUCUCUUAGAUCUUAUUUGAAUACUCUUAAUUUAGCAACACAACCGGAAGGCUUAAACUCUAUUGAAAUAAAAACGGAAAUUGAGGAAAUAAUCAACCAAGAAAUUAAGCAGCGCUUACGCAAAAAAGGAUUGGCAGAUGACUUCUUCACGCACCGACUUGGUCCUCCCAGAAUGUUAGAUGUCAUCGACGAGGAGGGUAGUAGUGAAUCCUCUAUGACGUCACGUCGUCAGUCAUACCUUAGUGAUAAAAGAAGUGACAUCGAGGACUUAGAUGAUGAUGUUUUUGAAGAUAAAAACAAACCUACGUUGCAGAAGAAAAUGAUGUCUAGUGCGAUCCAUAAGAAAACCUUUGGGCAGUUGGUACCCCAAGAAUGUCUUUUGGUAGGAGCUAAACUCAAACAACCUGAAGUUACUGAAGCCAGGGGUGAUUGGACUAUGAAAACUGUGGAAAAAAUGACUGGUGCCGAAGUAGUUUAUCUAACAGAUACAUCGAGCAGCACCAGCUCACUUCACGAAAUUGGAGAAGAAGAUGAUGGGGUUGAUACUGAUGUAUCAGUGCGUAUGAUAACACCAACUAUUGAAGUAACUGACACCGAAAACUUCCUCAAAAAAUCAUUUAUUACUAGUAAGGAAGACAGUAAACAAAAUGUUCAGGUGCAAAGUGAACCAAAUACCUUAAAUGAGAGUAGUCAAAAUAAUGAAAGUAAACAAGCUCCUGUCACAAACUCAGAGAAACUAGAUAGUAAAAUUGGAAAUACUGAACGUAUCAUUAAAGUUGAAAUAGAAAAUGAUAAACUUAAAAAUAUUUCAAACUCUGGUAACAAAACAAAGGGUGUUGAGCGCAUUAUAGAAAUUAUUUCUGACACAGAAACUAAAGAAAGUUCCCAAAAAAUAGUCUUUAAUAAGACUAGCGGUAAUAAUGAACGAAUCGUAAAAGUUGUACGUGAUCAAGAUGUACAGAAAAAUCCAGUUUCCAAUAACCAAUGUAAAGAGAAAAUAAAUGAGCGUAUUGUAAAUAUUGAAGUCGAUAAAUUAGGUGUAAAUAAGAGUAAUAUGGAAAAUGUUUCAAGUCAAGAUUCUCAUGAAAUAGUUAUUUUGUCAACUGAUAAUAUUAAAACUAAUUUGUAUGUCAAAGAUAUCGAUGAAAAUGUCAACAAAAAUGACGUCAAAGCCGAAACAAAACAGAAUAAAUACGAUUUAGAAUCAAAACUAAUUAAAUGCGAAUUUAACGAUGCAAUAAAUAAUUUGAUAAAGGAAGUUACAUCUGAAUCCGAAGACAAUAAUGAAAAUCUGAAGGAAAAUUUUACACGCCAAGACUCUUCAAGCAGUGUGGAUUCCUCUCAGUGCACCGCAAAAUAUAACCCUAAUUAUUCAUCCCUCAAUGACAUAUCUAGCAUGACGCAUGAGGAAACUAAUGUGAAUAAUAAGAUAAAUCCAGUACAAUUAUCUACAUCUACAAGCCAUGUCAAAGAUGUAUUUGAAUGUGUUACAGGAGCCCCGACUCAAAGUAAGACGAACAAUGAUGAUGACACAAAUGAACCACUAAAACUGAGAGAUUUGUGUGUCAGGAAUAUAGCAACACUGCCAUAUGGCAAGAAAAUACUUGAAGAAUUAGCUUCUGUAUCUGAACGUUUGCAAAAUAUCGCACUUUUCGGCACAAAUGUCAAGACAAUUGAGAAAAAGCAACAAAACGCUGAAAAUAUGCCACAUUAUAGGCUACCAGAUGUGUCAUCUAUUGAAACGAUAACUAUACCUCAUAAAACAAAAGAUCCCGUACCACCGCCAGUAAAGCCACGCAGAUCAUCUUUAAUAAGAAAAACAUCACAAGAGGACGAGCACUGGACUGGUAUACCAACUAAAACGGAGCCGGUAUAUGUUUGUCUAUCUCCCUCUCAGAAAAUGUUGAUGGAGAAAACAAAUACGGUGAUAACAAAAGACGAUGCUAGCCACCUUGUAGAUAUGCAUAGAAAAUAUGUGGAUCGAAGGGGUUACAAUGAGCAUUUUAAAAAUGAUAAAGAGCGAGAACAAAAUGAAAUCGAUAACACUCCGAUCAUACCUUUCAAAUCGCAAACUGGGAGUCGCUUACUCGCUUUGAUUCGUGACCCUAGUCUUACUAAUAACAUAAACUCAUUAAACCAAAGAAUGAAUAGCAGUUCAGAAGAGAUGCACAAAAGGCAAACAACGAAUACAUUUUCUAAAAGUAACCAUGACCGAGUCUCCAAUCGUGAGUUUUCGUUUAAACCAAUCCCUCCACCAAGACCUAAGAAAUAUUCCUCUUCAUUUUAUGAGAGUGACGAAAGUUCUGACUUCACCGACAGUUCUAUGCGUUCUAUUAAGAGUGAACGCAAAUUCUUCCAUUACUCUACUGGCAACCUAAAUAAAGAAAUAGAGAGCGAUAUAUCCUCUAUUCAAAAUAUGCACCGUUACUUCACCGACACUAGAGAUGAAAUGAAUGACUAUAAAUGCCCUCGAAGACCUUCACUUCCUAAAGAUUUGUGUGAACAACAAAUGGAGUACAUUCGUAAAAAAGAGAAAGAAGUUGAAGCUGAAAUCCAACGCCUUGAAGCUUUAAAACAGAGUGUGCCUCAAGUACAAAGACAGGGACCCAGAGCACCCUUGAUAUCGGAAAAGGAAGUCAUUACUGAAAGGUUGAGAGAUUCAAAUAAUUUCAGCGUAUCACGUAAAAAAGAUGUAAUUAUGACUUCACAUGGAUCCGACAACAGGAAAGGAAAAUUGUCCUCUGCAUUUAGCAGCAGUCAGGAAGAGUUACUUCGAGAGAAAAUGUAUUCUGAAUACGUAUCUCAAAUGGCAGAACGUGAAGAAAGGAAACAACACCGAGUAAUCAAAAUAACAAACACUCCAGCCUCCACCAGUCAUAAUAUAACUAUUUCCAAAAGUAUGCCGAUGCUCGACAGUCUCGAUUCCAAAGUCAACAAUAGAAUCGAGAAGGAAUUCAUAUCAAAAGCUAGGGAACGGUGGGACAAGUUAGGUAUUAAAGAUCCGGAAACUGAAGACGAACGAGAUUCUGGUAACAAUGUGUACAAAGAACCUAAAGUGAUAGAACAUAAAAUUAAAGUGAUUGAAGGUGGUGAGGAGAAAGACGUUAAAAAGUUGCCGAAUCAUUUGCAAGAGUUUGUUCAGUUCACGGCUAAGGACAGUGAGCAAGGCAGAAGCAGCUCCGGUGAGUCCACCACUGGACCCGCAUCCCCGCAUCUUGUGAUUAUUUGUGCAGUGAUUAUAAUUGUGAUAGCAGUUGGCAAAUACUUUUUGCGUUUGUUGCGAAACAAAUGACGACUAACAUAACAUUGUACAUUGUGACUGAUGCCCUAAAUAAUUCGAAUGCUUAGUGUGUAGUAUUGUUGUGUGUAGCAUUGCAUGAUAUGUUCAACCGAAAUAAUGUAACAAAUUAUUUAUUUUUAGUCUUAUCAUUAAUCUAGUUAUUGGACACUUCAGCGUUAUUUAUAUUACAUCAACAAAUAAAUAAUGAGCAGGUAAGUUGGAAACUACUCAAUAUUAAGUCUUUGGAGACCGAGAGGUAAAUGAUGAAACAUGAUGUGAGUGGGCUACAAUAUAUUGGUGUUUUGAAGUAGAACAUGUGUCAAGAAGCUUAUAGGUAAGGGCAAGAUCAAUGUAAUGUUUCCAUGACGACAGACGAAAAUUUUGAGAAAUGGUAUUGUUGACAAAGGCGGUUUGUUUGCUACAGUUAUUGUACAAGAAUUAU